rnacentral:rRNA from 1 species
AUUGAACGCUGGCGGCAUGCCUUACACAUGCAAGUCGAACGGCAGCACGGGUGCUUGCCCCUGGUGGCGAGUGGCGAACGGGUGAGUAAUACAUCGGAACAUGUCCUGUAGUGGGGGAUAGCCCGGCGAAAGCCGGAUUAAUACCGCAUACGAUCUACGGAUGAAAGCGGGGGACCUUCGGGCCUCGCGCUAUCGGGUUGGCCGAUGGCUGAUUAGCUAGUUGGUGGGGUAAAGGCCUACCAAGGCGACGAUCAGUAGCUGGUCUGAGGGGACGACCAGCCACACUGGGACUGAGACACGGCCCAGACUCCUACGGGAGGCAGCAGUGGGGAAUUUUGGACAAUGGGCGAAAGCCUGAUCCAGCAAUGCCGCGUGUGUGAAGAAGGCCUUCGGGUUGUAAAGCACUUUUGUCCGGAAAGAAAUCCUUGGCCCUAAUACGGUCGGGGGAUGACGGUACCGGAAGAAUAAGCACCGGCUAACUACGUG